rnacentral:rRNA from 1 species
UACGACGCGCCGAGGGAGACCGCCGAGGACCGGCACCGGCACCGGCACGGCCGCCGCUGCGCCCGCCACCGGCGGGACUUCCGGCCAGCCUCGGACGUGGCCCUGAAGCUGCUGCCGGCCCACCACCUCGACCGCGACCUGGCCCUCUGCCCCAGGUCCGACCUCAGGUUCCUGGCCAUGGAGAAGCCCGCCAAGCUAGAGCUGUAGUCCGAGCAGCGGCUGCUCAGGCGGCCCUGGUAGUGAAGGAAGAUACUCCCUUCGUCGCCUACGCUCGGUCCUCCGCCUAGCCGAGCUGGGUCGGUACCUCGACGGCGACGCCUGAGGGACGGCCGGAGGAAGCAGAAGUACACCUAAACGUACCGUUCACUACAACGCAACGGUUACUGUGUAGAUCUUAACGACAAGCACUGAGGACAUCUACAAGGACUUAAAAAGAAACAUCACCAACCCACGACGGUAUUUUGGACAUUGUCGUCGUUCUACGUCAAGAGCCGUUUAGCGAAAAUCUAGACUCUUUCUUCUACUUGUCCUCUUAGGUUAUCUUCUUAAACCACUUCUUGUUCCCAACGCCUACCUCCUCAUGCAAUAAAGCUGCCAGGAGAUAAAAUGACAACGCACACGGAAGUCCAGGUAGUC